GGAGAUUUUAAAAAAAGCAAUGAAACAGACUCAUACGUUGCUGGCUGCGUUGCAUUGUUUGUAAUCCAAGGCUGAGAAGGAAAAAAAGAGCAUCAAAUUUAAUCAAAGGAAAAACACGCUUAUUUAUGUCAUGAAAGGCAAAAGUGAAAGGCAAAAGAGAAUCAAUAGAAACCAUGUUGCUUCUCAAUGAAAGGACUAUUCCUGCACGUUUUCUCAUCUUCAAAGCAAAAGUGAAAGGCAAAGUCAACAGCUGAAGUUUAUUUAUAUCAUGAGUAAUUUAGCAACAACACCUUGUACAGAACAAUGUCGUUU
rnacentral:lncRNA from 1 species